rnacentral:rRNA from 1 species
UAGGGAAUCUUCCACAAUGGACGCAAGUCUGAUGGAGCAACGCCGCGUGAGUGAAGAAGGUUUUCGGACCGUAAAGCUCUGUUGUUGGUGAAGAAGGAUAGAGGUAGUAACUGGCCUUUAUUUGACGGUAAUCAACCAGAAAGUCACGGCUAACUACGUGCCAGCAGCCGCGGUAAUCGUAGGUGGCAAGCGUUGUCCGGAUUUAUUGGGCGUAAAGCGAGCGCAGGCGGAAGAAUAAGUCUGAUGUGAAAGCCCUCGGCUUAACCGAGGAAUUGCAUCGGAAACUGUUUUCUUGAGUGCAGAAGAGGAGAGUAGAACUCCAUGUGUAGCGGUGGAAUGCGUAGAUACAUGGAAGAAUACCAGUGGCGAAGGCGGCUCUCUGGUCUGCAACUGACGCUGAGGCUCGAAAGCAUGGGUAGCGAACAGGAUUAGAUACCCUGGUAGUCCAUGCCGUAAACGAUGAGUGCUAAGUGUUGGGAGGCUUCCGCCUCUCAGUGCUGCAGCUAACGCAUUAAGCGCUCCGCCUGGGGGAGUACGACCGCAAGGUUGAAAC